GUGCCAGCCGCCGCGGUAAUACGGAGGGGGCUAGCGUUGUUCGGAAUUACUGGGCGUAAAGCGCACGUAGGCGGACCAUUAAGUCGGGGGUGAAAUCCCAGGGCUCAACCCUGGAACUGCCUUCGAUACUGGUGGUCUAGAGAUCGAGAGAGGCGAGUGGAAUUCCGAGUGUAGAGGUGAAAUUCGUAGAUAUUCGGAGGAACACCAGUGGCGAAGGCGGCUCGCUGGCUCGAUACUGACGCUGAGGUGCGAAAGCGUGGGGAGCAAACAGGAUUAGAAACCCCGGUAGUCCCGAAA
rnacentral:rRNA from 1 species